GAUUAACGCGAAAUUAGAGUCAGUGUUUGCUUUCGUAACAGUUUCUUUAAAUCCUUCAAUGGAUAACGCGAAAUUAGAUUCAGUGCUUCUCUCAAGAAAAUAAGGCGGUCAUCCAUCACGCGAAGAGAUGUUCUACACGGUGAUGACUUCCUUGUGUCUUCCUUGCGUCUAAUGGUGAGUCGCAUGCUUUUUGAUUCCUCCGGUCACUCAACCAUGUCGUAGGACGAAAGGUCCGAAUCGGCACGAGUGACUGGUUGUAUACGUAGAUUUUUGCACGAGCAUAGUGACCACGGGUAUAUUUUAUUAUAUAUCCGUGAUUAGUAACAUUUUCAAUGUUUUAUUUAUAUUAGUUCGGGCUAGGUUUUCUUGCGCAUCGCGUAACAAAAAUCUUUUUUUUACUUUUCAUUUCAUUUCAUAAAUUUUCAUUAUAAUAAAUCACAGUUUUCAACACUGUGAAAUAUAAAAGUUUUCAUUUUACUUUCUCCGUUUGCGAAAUAACUAUAUUAAAUUAUAUCCGCAAGAAAACAAUUCGCGACAGGUAGAUUUCGGAAUCAAAACAAUAAAUUUUGAACACUGUUUUCAUUCUCGAAGAUACGUUUUGAUGAAGAAAUCGCCUGAGGUUAUUUUUAU